rnacentral:tRNA from 1 species
GCGGGCGUGGCGGAAUUGGCAGACGCGUACGGCUUAGGACCGUAUGCCUAUGGCAUGGGGGUUCAAGUCCCUCCGCCCGCACCA